GCAGCACCUGCGGUAAUUCCAGCUCCAAUAGCGUAUAUUUAAGUUGUUGCAGUUAAAAAGCUCGUAGUUGGAUUUCGGGUGGGUUUCAGCGGUCCGCCUAUGGUGAGUACUGCUGUGGCCUUCCUUACUGUCGGGGACCUGCUUCUGGGCUUCAUUGUCCGGGACAGGGAUUCGGCAUGGUUACUUUGAGUAAAUUAGAGUGUUCAAAGCAGGCUUACGCCGUGAAUACUUUAGCAUGGAAUAACAUGAUAGGACUCUGCCCUAUUCUGUUGGCCUGUAGGAGUGGAGUAAUGAUUAAGAGGAACAGUCGGGGGCAUUCGUAUUUCAUUGUCAGAGGUGAAAUUCUUGGAUUUAUGAAAGACAAACUUCUGCGAAAGCAUUUGCCAAGGAUGUUUUCAUUAAUCAAGAACGAAAGU
rnacentral:rRNA from 1 species